CUUUUUUAUAUAGCACUUUGGGGUUUGCAAAGUGCCUUAAAAUAUUUUCUUGCCUAACUUUCCAACAAGCUUAUGAAGUUGUUACUACAGGGUCUAGUAUAUACAUUUUGCAGAUCACCAAACUGAGGAUAAAAAAAAAAUGUUUUGUGAUUUGCUAGGAUCACAGUGGAAAGAGAACCAAGAGAAGAAUAUGAACCAAAGUGUACCCUGAUUCUAUAUCCAGCAUUGUCUCUACGGUAUCACAUCCCACUGUUGCCACUAUUGUAAAAUGGGGUGACAAACCUUCAACUUGGAGUCAAAGAGCAUCAUAUUAUCACAUGAUCAGUCAAUUAUUUAUCAAGCUCAGGAAGAAGGAAGCUGUGGUUUAUUGUUUAGCCAUCAGCUAGAUCUCCAGCUAUUGAUCAUUAGGUUGAACAAGAUCAAUAGUCCAAAGAAGUGAAGGAGACUACAGGUGCACUGCUACAGAAAGAAACAUGGCUAUGUAAGAGAGAAGUUACAAAAGGAGAGAAAAAAUCAAUUCCAGCAAUGCAAAGGAACAGCCCAAGUGGAGAAAGAAGAAGGAAGACUCAAGAUUCCAGGAAGGAAUAGAGGAUCUGAGAAAAUUCCAAACUGCCAGCUUACUUCUGGCCCUUCUUCCAUCCCCCAUACCACAGAAGGCAUCACCCAGCAAACUAAACAGAUUUUGUCUUUCAUGUUUCCAGUUCUCAGUUCAUUCUCUGUAAAUGAACAUUCACAAAUGAUUCUUCAAACAUUAAAUUGGUAUCUGCAUAUACUGUUUUCUUAGUUCCAUUCAUUUCAGUUUCAUAAUAUUAUUCUAAGGAAAUAGUAAAGACUGGGCAUUUGCUGUUAUCUAGAGCCACUUUUCAAAGAUUCCAGGACUAAGCUAGCCUUCUUUGUGCUGAGAAUAUUCAUAUAGGUAGUCUAAUC
rnacentral:lncRNA from 1 species